rnacentral:rRNA from 1 species
UACGGGGGGGGCAAGCGUUGUUCGGAAUUACUGGGCGUAAAGGGCUCUUAGGUGGCCAACUAAGUCAGACGUGAAAUCCCCAGGCUUAACCUGGGAACUGCGUCUGAUACUGGAUGGCUUGAAUUCGGGAGAGGGAUGCAGAAUUCCAGGUGUAGCGGUGAAAUGCGUAGAUAUCUGGAGGAAUACCGGUGGCGAAGGCGGCAUCCUGGACCGAGAUUGACACUGAUGAGCGAAAGCUAGGGGAGCAAACGGG